UCGGGAGCAAUUUACACAGCUUAAGGCCGAGGCAACUGUAGUAAUAGUCACCAAUAUGAGUGAUUAAAAUAGCAGGUGUUCAAAAGGAGUGCAGAUACCUCAGAUGGUUUGGACCUGGAGGAGAUGACAGAGAUAAGAAAUUAGAGAAGUCAAGAGUGUAGACUUCACGAAGAUGGAUAUGAUGAACAGAAAACAGGCAUUCUCUUGGCAUUCUAGGAUGAUCCUGGAAGACUGAAAAUGUCCUGGGAUCUAACAUCCCGAGAGCUGGUCUGACCAAGUCUUACAUCUGAGAUUGUUACACUUCGUCACAAUGUGCUGGAUUGGGAUUUCGAACUUCAGCCAGCUACUCUGAGGAAUGUUGCCAAUAGUGAGACAGAGCUAACAUUGGCAUACUAUCUAUAUCCAUAGAGCUAUCAGUAAAACUCCACACUGGA